rnacentral:rRNA from 1 species
AUUGAACGCUGGCGGCAUGCCUUACACAUGCAAGUCGAACGGCAGCACGGGAGCAAUCCUGGUGGCGAGUGGCGAACGGGUGAGUAAUAUAUCGGAACGUGCCCAGUAGUGGGGGAUAACUGCUCGAAAGAGCAGCUAAUACCGCAUACGACCUGAGGGUGAAAGGGGGGGAUCGCAAGACCUCUCGCUAUUGGAGCGGCCGUUAUCAGAUUAGCUAGUUGGUGGGGUAAAGGCCUACCAAGGCAACGAUCUGUAGUUGGUCUGAGAGGACGACCAGCCACACUGGGACUGGGACACGGCCCAGACUCCUACGGGAGGCAGCAGUGGGGAAUUUUGGACAAUGGGCGCAAGCCUGAUCCAGCAAUGCCGCGUGCAGGAGGAAGGCCUUCGGGUUGUAAACUGCUUUUGUCAGGGAAGAAAUCCUCUAGGUUAAUACCCUUGGGGGGAUGACGGUACCUGAAGAAUAAGCACCGGCUAACUACGUGCCAGCAGCCGCAGUAAAAC